UGCCAGCCGCCGCGGUAAUACGGAGGGGGCAAGCGUUGUUCGGAUUUACUGGGCGUAAAGGGCGCGUAGGCGGCAUGCCAAGUUGGAGGUGAAAUGCCCGGGCUUAACCUGGGAACUGCCUUCAAAACUGGCAAGCUCGAGACCGGGAGAGGUAAGCGGAAUUUCCAGUGUAGAGGUGAAAUUCGUAGAUAUUGGAAAGAACACCAGUGGCGAAGGCGGCUUACUGGACCGGAUCUGACGCUGAGGCGCGAAAGCGUGGGGAGCAAACAGGAUUAGAUA
rnacentral:rRNA from 1 species